GAUGAACGCUGGCGGCGUGCCUAAUACAUGCAAGUCGAACGGACUGUGGUAAUUAUGAUUGAAGAGCUUGCUCGGAGAGAUUAAUUACAAUGCAGUCAGUGGCGAACGGGUGAGUAACACGUGGGAAACCUACCUCUUAGCAGGGGAUAACAUUUGGAAACAGAUGCUAAUACCGUAUAACAAUUAGAACCGCAUGGUUCAAGUUUAAAAGAUGGUUCUGCUAUCACUAAGAGAUGGUCCCGCGGCGUAUUAGCUAGAUGGUGAGGUAAUGGCUCACCAUGGCAAUGAUACGUAGCCGAGUUGAGAGACUGAUCGGCCACAUUGGGACUGAGACACGGCCCAAACUCCUACGGGAGGCAGCAGUAGGGAAUCUUCCACAAUGGACGAAAGUCUGAUGGAGCAACGCCGCGUGUGUGAUGAAGGCUUUCGGGUC
rnacentral:rRNA from 1 species